CCCACCCCAUUACUCUCUUCCAAUCACCACUGUCCAGAUAGAUGGAAAUCGCCACUGAUAACAUGGAUGCUGUCCAGGAAGUAGGAGGGUCUGGGAGGGAGGGUCUGACGGAGAUUGGCAGGGAUGUGUCAGCUGACCGGAGUUCGCCACGAAUGGUUCGCGACAUCACUAAUAGUGAGAUGUCAGGAAAGGUUAAACACCAGAUUCAGUGAAUGAGGUUGAGACUGC